AUUAAUGCUCUUCUUUUAUU
rnacentral:sRNA from 1 species